rnacentral:rRNA from 1 species
AACUAACGCUGGCGGCGCGUCUUAAACAUGCAAGUCGAACGGUAGUCCUUGAGCUUGCUUAGGGAUGAGAGUGGCGAACGGGUGAGUAACACGUGGAUAAUCUGCCUCCGGGUUGGGGAUAACUGUCCGAAGGAUAGCUAAUACCGAAUGAGAUGGCGGUUACAUAAGUAGCAGCCAUUAAAAGGUGGGGACCGCAAGGCCUACUGCCUGGAGAUGAGUCCGCGGCUGAUUAGCUAGUUGGUGGGGUAACGGCCUACCAAGGCGACGAUCAGUAGCCGGCCUGAGAGGGUGAACGGCCACAUUGGGACUGAGAUACGGCCCAGACUCCUACGGGAGGCAGCAGUUAAGAAUCUUGCACAAUGGGCGCAAGCCUGAUGCAGCGACGCCGCGUGAAUGAUGAAGGCCCUUCGGGUUGUAAAGGUUUCAGUAAGCAGGGAAGAAGUAAGCAAGGGGUAA